CUCCGGAUUGGGCGGUGACUGACGCCCUCCGCAAUUGGCGAGUUCGCGGUCCAGGCCGGCGCGCUCUCAAUCCGAUUAGUCCCAAGGCCCGAGAGGCGGGUCUUCGGAAGCCGGGACCCUGGUCCGGUCCGCCGCGGUUCACGCGGAGGGGUCUUCCCGGCGCGGGCGCCGCCCUGACGCUUCACUCGCGCUGUUUUGCACGUCAGCUUCGCGCCGCCUGGUCUCGGUCCACUGGGGCUGUUAUUGCCGCCGCUGCCGCCACCAAGCGCGCCUUUCCACCGCUCUCGGUGCCGGAGGACGCAGGGCUUUGACGUUCGGAGCCCUGCGUCUCACCCCGUGCGCUUUUACGUCACCUUUCACCGGUUCAACACCCUGUCCCUGGUCCGCGCAUGCGCCCUCCUCCUAAAGCCUCCGUUUGUUCCUAUGGCAACCGGUCCCUUGCGAAAGCUACUACCGCGCUUCGGCUUCUCUUUUGCUGGGAUUAGGUACGAGGGCAACCUCAGAGAGCCCUCGGCCUGGCCCCCCAAGUCCCCAAGCCCGGCGCCUCAUUCUGACAACAGCAGGAACAGCUCACCUCGGUUGACUACUCACUGCGCGUCGGGCCCCGUCCCAAACUGACCAUGAGAGCAUCGACUGGAGAUAAAUUAGCUGAUGGUUGGCCGGACACUGAUUAUAUGGAAACGAACUGGCCACGGCUUCUGUCCUCAGGGAGCCCCUGGUCUCAAGGAGAGCCGGACACGGAAGCGAAGGCACGCAGUACAGUAAGACAACGUGAAGACAAUAGGAUGCGUUGGAAUUUAGAGAUUAGAACCUGCAGGGUGAAGUCUGAUGGCUCUCAGUCCCGCAAGAACAGACUGGAACAGCCACCAGUUCCCGGCUCUCCCACUGGCUGACUGCUCAGCACGUGUCAUCGCCUGAGCCAGUUCCUUAUGAUAAAUAGCUUCACACACACACACACACACACACACACACACACACACACAUGCGUGCACACGCACACACACACACACACACACACACACACACCUCCUAUUGGGUCUGGUUCUCUGGAGAGCUGGCUGUGGUGAAGUGUGCAUGGGACCCCCUGUACAAUCUUCCAGAUGAUUCCAUGAGCCCGGAGCUGUUCUAAAUAAAAUAAGUGGCUGUAA